AACGAACGCUGGCGGCAGGCUUAACACAUGCAAGUCGAACGGGCCCUUCGGGGUCAGUGGCAGACGGGUGAGUAACGCGUGGGAACGUGCCCUUCAGUUUGGGAUAACCCAGGGAAACUUGGGCUAAUACCGGAUACGUGCGAGAGCAGAAAGAUUUAUCGCUGAAGGAUCGGCCCGCGUCUGAUUAGCUGGUUGGUAGGGUAAUUGCCUACCAAGGGUACGAUCAGUAGCUGGUCUGAGAGGAUGAUCAGCCAAAUUGGGACUGAGACACGGCCCAAACUCCGACGGGAGGCAGCAGUGGGGAAUAUUGGACAAUGGGCGCAAGCCUGAUCCAGCCAUGCCGCGUGAGCGAUGAAGGCCUUAGGGUUGUAAAGCUCUUUCAGUGGGGACGAUAAUGACGGUACCCGCAGAAGAAGCCCCGGCUAACUUCGUGCCAGCCGCCGCCGUAA
rnacentral:rRNA from 1 species